rnacentral:miRNA from 1 species
AAGGAUUCUACCAGAGUCUGGAGGGAGCACGGGCUUGCUGACACCUUGAUUUCAGACUUCUAGCCUGCAGACCUGACAGAGAAUACAUUUUGUUGUUUAUAGCCACCCAGUCUGUGGUACUUUGUUACAAUAGCCCUAGGAA